rnacentral:misc_RNA from 1 species
GAUGAAGAACGCAGUGAAAUGCGAUAAGUAAUGUGAAUUGCAGAAUUCAGUGAAUCAUCGAGUCUUUGAACGCACAUUGCGCCCCCUGGUAUUCCGGGGGGCAUGCCUGUCCGAGCGUCAUUGCUGCCCUCAAGCACGGCUUGUGUGUUGGGCCCCCGUCCCCGGUUUCCCCCGGGGACGGGCCCGAAAGGCAGCGGCGGCACCGCGUCCGGUCCUCGAGCGUAUGGGGCUUUGUCACCCGCUCUGUAGGCCCGGCCGGCGCCAGCCGACACCCAACUUUAUUUCUAAGGUUGACCUCGGAUCAGGUAGGGAUACCCGCUGAACUUAAGCAUAUCAAUAAGCGGAGGA